GGCCAGCUCCGCCGCCGCCCCCGCUGCCAUUUGUUGCUCGCGUUCGGAGGGAGCAGCUCUCCUCCCCAUCACCGCCGCCUGCUCCGUAGCAACUGGUCCGGGUCGGUGAUGUCAACAAACUUCGUGCUCCUCUCAGCCCAUGGGCACCACCACUGCAUUUAGAGAAGCCGAGGUUUUGUCCCAUGAAGAAUAAUGGAGAGAAAUGAUCUUUGCAGAGGGCCACCACAAAUCCUUUUCAUCCUGUAAUUUCCAUUGGUACUUCUGGUAGCAAUAUGCAUUGUUCUGAAGUCCAUCUUGCUUCCUGAUGCUGCACUUACAAGGAUUGGAGGUUUGGAUAUGAAAUGAUCUCUUCAAGACAUACCAGUAGCUCCUGGUUUCUUGUAUUUGACAAGUUCUGUCAUAUUGAACGAUCUUGCCAGCUUUGCACAUACUCCCCUUUCUACACAGUGAGGAGCUGCUCUGUAUUAAGGAAUAGAGCUUCUGGUUUAUAUAACAGAAAAUCCUUAGAUUGUCAAUAAUUCAUUAGCUCUGAAAGAGAAACAGCAGCUGUAAAUAAGCUCAACUUGUACAGCUCAUACUCCACCUAGCUCUGAUUUAGAGAAAAAUAUAAGUGGUGAAGAACAGUAUUCUGCUAUGCACCAUCCACUGCCUGAAAUUGGUGCUUGGGCUGCUCACAAAAUAGUAUGCAUUUCUGGGAUGCUUAAAUAUUAGAGAAAUAACUGGAAAAUAGAUGUUUCAUGCUAAUCAAACUGAGUUAGUAGGGGUUAGAUCUUGUCAGACAUUCCAGUGAGGGUUUUUUUGUUGUUGUUGUUAUUUAGGAGACUUAUAUAAAAUAAAAGUAGUUGUAUGGAUAGGACAGACUUGGAUUUCUGCAAGGCACUUGGCUUAAUACCACAUGACAUUUUGAUUUCCAGUCUUGCAUUACAGAGAAUUAACAACUCACACAUUAUGGGGAUUAAGAAGUGUCUCACUGACAAAUUUAAAAAUGUAGCCUUUUAAUGGGGAGGUUUCAUUCAAUGUGGGGAGCUUUCCCAGCAGAGCCAGAAACAGUCUUUAUCUAAUACAAUUUUAUAUUGUUUUCAGCAGUACAGACCAAGAUAAAAUCUGUGCUUUUAAGGCUUGUAUAUGACACAGUGUAUUUUAGCACAGUAAAUAAAGAAGAUAUAUUACUUCUGCAGUGAUUUGAUUUGGCUAAAUGAUCACUGUCCAGCAGGCUGCACACUAAAUUCAUUUUAAUGCAUUCAAAUGCAAAUUAAUACCUCUGGGGACCAGAAGCUUGUAGGAAUGGGUACUGUCUCAAAAAGCAGAGACUUGAGGAAUGACAAAAAAGUGAUUACCCUGGAUAAUCACUCCGAACACAAGAUCUCGGUGCAAAGCUAUGGCAAGGACCCAGCACAGUCCUUGCAGGUUCCUAAAAUAACAAGCACAGUUCUGGUGCUUGCACUUUAAAGAAGAUGAGAAAAUAUUGGAGAAAAUCCAAAUAGUUUGUGAGUCAAGCACAUGUCUUGUGAUGGGAGGCUUAAAGAGCUGGGCAUAUUCCACUUACCCAAGGAAAGGUUGAGAGGAUACGUGGAAAAGACAACAGACAGCGGUGAGCUUUUUUACUCUUGCUGACAAAAGCACAACUAAGUCCACUGACUGGAAGUUUAAGGUUAGAUGUAAUCAACCUUGAAAUCAGAUGCAAUUUCCUAGCAGUAAAGGUAAUUAAACUCUGUAAGAGCUUACAAAGGGAGAUGGUGCACUCACCAUUGCUUGAUGCUGUCCUAAAAACUGUCUUUCUUUCUUAAAUAUUGGCUUUACUUCAGCUUCUGGGAGAACUUCUAAUGGCCAAGGGAGCCUCAAAUAAGGAGGAAAGGAGGGUCACGUCAGGCAAGAUUCCCUGGUGAUCCCUCAAGCCCUACAUCCAUUAGAAUGUCGCAUAUGUGCAACUUCUUCCAUUAUGGUUGAAACAAGAUGGCUUGAAUUACACCCUUCCCACUCAGACAUUUGCAGGUUGGCAUUAAGCUAAUGAGUAUAAUCAAAUUCUGUACUCAAGGGCUCCAGUUGGCUGCCUACAGAGGUAAGGAAGAAUCCCUUCCCAUUCUUCCCAGAGGAUAUUUGGUCUGAUAUAUUCUGCAGUAGAAGUUUUUCCAUUCCCCUGAAGCAUGGAUUAUUCAUUUUGCUGUAGCCAGGAAGAGAGUAGACUAAUGCAGAAAAUGAUCUUAGACAUCUGAUGCCCGGGUCUGAAUUUAGUCAAGUCCAAGAGGAGUAGAGAAUUUUCUAGAUCAAAUUGGCAAGGAUGGCGAAUUUUUGCAAAGAUUGUCUCUGUGCCUCUGUGAUUAUCUGGGCAUAUAAGGACCAAUCAGUUCUCAAGAAUUGCAGGAGUCUUGAAUACUGCUUCAGACACACAGCAGUUUGGUUUCUCAAGGAAUAAAACACCACGGGCUAAUGAAAGUAACUGUCUCAGCCUUGAGGUACAUCUACAACAACUAAUAGCCACUGGCACACAGGACAUCAGACUAGGCAAUAUAAUAAUCUCUCUUGGCCCUAAAUUGUGGGGAAACAUAGAGCUAGUACAUAACGGCUCCAAUUUUCCCAAUGCCCCUGGGAAUGUGAGGAGGCAGAUGUUCACACUGUGAGUCACAAAUGCCAAGCAGUCUCCAGAACCACUGGUCAAGAAUAAAGAGACCCACAGAGAAUUCAGAAACAAAGCAACACCUUCCAAAAUUUAAAUUAAAAAGAAAGAAAGAAAGAAACAUAAAAUACGGCCUUUUGCUUGAAGGUCUUUGCCUUGGCAGGCUUGGGAGGAAUGCUUCAGAUGUGUCUGCCUUUGGUAGCAGAGAGCUGGCCUACGGCUUCCACCAUCUGUAUUACCUCCCUGCCUAUGCUGACAGGACAGCUAGACAACAUGGUUGUGAAAAUGCCCUGUUCAAAACAGUUUUUUUUAAGAUUUCCAGCCCUAAGCUGAGAAGUGGUUCAUUUUCAUAGCAUGUGAGUGUGCUCAGCAUCCCUGAGUGAGAAAUCAGAUAUUUAACACCUUGUCUGGCAAAGCAUUCAUAAAGGCACUGUGGUGUUCUACUGUAGCUCCAUAUGGAAAACUGAAUACACAGAAAGCAGCUGUUCCUGUAUUUAGACUAACAUAGCUGGUGGUAACUUGUUUUAAACCUUUUACCCAGAUAGUCACAGAAAGGACUGAAAGAAAGCCAUCUCACAUUGGUGAAACAGGACAGAAAGCAUGUAAAUAUUUAUCAUGCCAGUAGAGACACACAUCUCCUCAACUUAUUGCCUCUUGAUUGCAUACUUAUACAAUGAGAAUGUUGUAUUAAUCACUAAUAAGAGUAAUUAAUAAUGUGGCACUGCAAAUUAUCCAUUAGCAAAAUGAGUGACAGUUUGUAAUGUUCCAAAAUGUUUACACCUGGCAACAUGCAGCAGCACAGUAAGUAUAGUUUCACAUAAUGCUCACUGGGAUGAGCAUUCUGUGAAACUAUAUGUUUCACAUAUAUAUAUAUAUAUAUAUAAUGCUCACUGACUGUGGAUACCUUUUUCUGCUGGAGCAUGAGAGGCAAGGAUGCAUUAUUAGCCUCAGCUCAUCAAAAUAUUCUUCUUGGUUUAGAUUUAUCACAGGUUCCUCCUAAACUACAGAUGUAUUUAAGAAAUGGGCUUGUCUCCUUGAGUGUAUGUGCAGACUGUGAAUGAGAUUUCCCAAACGAAUCUUCUGUUGCAUAAUUCUGCCUGUCAUUUUUAAUAGCUAGAUGGUAAAAAAAAAAAAAUAGCAUUAAGAAUCAGUGGUUAUGAUGGGACAUAUAAGGAGCAACAAGCAGUAUCUCAUAAUCUAUUUGUAGGACAUCUGGGCAGCAUAUGGGAAACUUUGGUGGAUUUAUUAUGUUCCUGAAACAGAAGAAAAAGAGAUGUAAAGAAAAAGUAAUCCAGAAACAACAAACAGUAACAUGUAAUUCUAGACUUGGACAUCUGAGACACUGUUCAGAGGAUAGCGAAGAUAUUUCUUAAUUUAUGUACAACAACACGACUGACAAAAAUGUCAUUGCUCUAGAAGAACAGUCGUGGUACCCAGGAUAUGUUAUCUUGAGUCUUAUAAAAUAAUCAGCUUGAUGUUUUGGGUUGAGUGUUUAAAUUAUGUCCAUUAUUUUUAAUUAUGUUUAUUAUUUCUAUGUAGAAAACUGUUAGCUGAACUGGAAUUUCAUCUGACAUUUACAAGAUAUUUUACAUUACUAAAAUGAGAAGUAUGGUGUGCCCCAGAGAAACUGCCAGCAUAAGAUCCUGAUCUUGCAGAUAUUUCCACAUCUGCUCUAUGUUACGCACUAAGAGUAAUGCUACUGACUUCAAGUAAGCGUUUUAAAGGACUUAAGUUAACAGUGUGUCUUUCAUUGACUAACAUCUUUAACAACAUAAAUGCACACACAGGUUGAACAAAAUAUGUAAAUUAAACAACCCCUCGUGCUUAAUCACUCCAUCAUCUAGACAAAAUGGGACGGUAUAUGCACUUUCAAAGUAAUUCUUGCUCACAAGAUGAAAACUGCUAUAGAAAAGUUGCUAUUAGUAUAAGAUCACAUUCUUUUUUCCCAACCGGCUAGUUAAAAAUGUGCUUUCAUCUUCCAUGAAAUUAUUUUUCGUUUAUUCAAAAUUAAGUAAUAAAAAUAGAAUGGGGAUAUAUGUUAUGGUGCAAUAACAGGUAUAACAGAGGUGACCUGGUAGUUUCAUGUAUAUAUCCUACAUGUGAAGAUUUCCUUCAUUUCACAUAUGUCAGAUAUCAGCUGUCAGCUAUUCCCUGGUACUACUGUUCUUCAGUGCGGGAUAUCAGGAAAGAUGACUGAAACACUAAGAAGACAUGCAUUUUUCCCCACUUGUAAACUAAACUCUGAGGAAAAGCUGUCAGAGAUUUAACAUUAUAUCGUAAAUAUUCUUCAACAUCCUCCAACUUAGGAACGUUCCACUAAAGAAAGCCUAAUGGGAACCUCUCAUUGAAUUACGCUUUGCCAAUGCAGCCUGGGUGGAGCAGCACCAUGAACACACCAGAGGUCCUGGGAAAAUGAGAAGCAUGAGCACUGUCACCAUGCCCUCAGGAAGGCAGACAAACAUGACUUCAUCCCUAAGGAAGAUCAGAAAGUGAUUUUUUCUUACCAGGCACUGAUCUCAGGCUAAUUGCCAACGCUGAUGUUACUGGCUCUCAACAUAUACAUAGUGAUCCACAAGAACUGUAAACGAAAACAAAAGAAGAAAAAGAAACAAGUAAGCAGAAACAUUUGAAAUGUAAUUGCCUCCUUUUUUUCUGUCAAUAAAAUCAGACUUUUGUUUAACUAGUUGAGUGCACAAAUUAUGGCUAGAUGUCUCAUUAACUGUUGUGCUGAAUGGCACUAAUGGCUGUCAUCCAAAGAGCGUUUAACCGGAACCAACGUUAGACCCACUUAAAAUCGGUGGUCUGCCGAGAACUCUUUCAGGCUCAGUGGAGUAUCCAAGCCCGUUAGUUAGAACUGGACACUGAUCACAGUAGAUUAAUUGACACAGAUGCCCAACAGGCCAAAGCAAAUACAUCACGGAUGCAUGAUUUUCCUAGCUGAAGAGUUUGUUACUAGAGGUACCAAAGAUCUAUGUCAUCUCCCUCUCUGAAAAAAAGAGCUGGAGCUUAGAACUUCUCUGUUUUAAUGUAUAUUAAUAAAAUCAAUUAUCCUGUGAUAUAUUCAUUUAAAUUCAUUUAAAUUAUAAAUAAGUAAACAGGAUUUGGCCUGACUAUUGUUGGCUUGGAGGAAGCAAUGAGACAAGGUCUCCAAAUAUUUCUGCCUCCAGUACUGGUUCACCAAGAGGAUAGCUUUGUAAUGGUAGUCAUAUCAGAAAUGCCUAAAAUCAUCUGAAUUAAUUUUAAAAUGGUCUCUGGGAAGCAGCUGAGCUGGGACUUAGAGGAAGAGAAUGAGAGAGAGAAAGAGAGAAAAAAGUGAGGACAUUAAAAUGGACUGAUUAAUAAAAUACGAAUACAGAGAAAGCUGUGCAGCUGGGAUUUUACACCAGCAUUUAAAAAUAGCAACACAUAUUAUUCUGCUCCUGGACCUAUAUCACUUUAAAUCUUUUAGAAACAUAUUAAAAUUACCCAAAGAGAAUUUUGUUGAAAAGCUCCCUCGAGUUACACACGAUAAUUAAAAAGAGGCUCAUUGUAAAUCCUUCUGUCUAGUUCAACAGUAUUAUCUGCUUACAGACAGCCCUCAGAGGGCAAAGUCACAGCCUUGGUCUGGCAAAAUUAUUGCCCAGUGAUGAUGCAUUCUUUGUGCUCACAGUAACUCAGCAUGAGCACAGUAACAACAGAUCUUAUAUAUGGCUGCUACAGCGUGAGGAGAAAAAACAUCAACAACGUUAUUGUUUAUAUUAAUGAGACAUCUCUGAAAUAGCAUUAUUUGUCUAAAACAGAGGACAGAUCAGUUUCAAAAGUCAAGAAGAACCAGCAAGGGAGCUUGGAGAAUCAGUUGUGGUUUAAUCUUCCAACUGAUGAAAAAUACUACCUUUCUCUAGAUCACAUAGAUCACAUAGACAUUAUGAAAUUAAUCUUAAAACUGAAUUUGAGGGAGCUGAGUGAUUGAAAUCCAGUUAUCUGAAUGGUAAGAUCAUAGCGUACAUGUGUUGAGCAGAUCACCGUCUUAGGAAUAAUGUGAUUCAGUAAAAAACGGAGCAGAAAGAAAUAUUGUAAUUAAUCUGGAACUCUGUACUGAAGGAAAAAGAGAACUGAAUUUUAAGCUCUUGUUAGUCAUCGCUGAGGCAAGACGUAUAUCUGAAUCUGAUCUAUAAAGAAGCAGAUUUUUGAAGAAGUAUACCACCAUUCCCCAUCGGGCAUGCAAAAGUGCACUGCAUUUUGGAAUAGCAUCCACUCUAAAGCAGAAGACUGGCACAGACCUGUGCAGUUAUUUUUCAUUUAAGUCUUCAAGACAGAACUGAUGUCUUGAUCUCUUCUUCACCCUAAUGUCAAGGAGUGAUUUUCAUCCUAUUCCUGUUUUCCUGGUCCUUUUGUAUUCACAGGUAAGAAGGGCUUGAGCAGCAUUUCUUAAAUGUGCUGAGAAUUCUCAUAGAGGGUCUUUGUGUGCAAAUCUUGUGCAUGCUUUCAAGGGCGAGUAAAGAUGUGGCCUCUUACGAUGGAACUGUAAUGAAACAACAUAUUUGCUUCCAGGAGAGCUACACAGGCACUUCCAUGUUUCUUACAGUUUAGUUUGAAUUGUUGCUUUCAUUAUGAACCUAUUAGUUCAGGGCUUUAACAGAGCCAAGCAGCUCUGCUUCAGGCUACUAUUUGGCUCGCACCACCACUAGUACAAGAGUAAUGGUUUGUUUGGACAAUUUAAUAAAAUUCAUUAUCUCAACAGUUGCCAGGCUCAAAGACAAGCAAAAAUGCAUGUGCAUGAUUUCAGAUUUUGCAAACGGUAUUCAGAUUUCACAAGAUAGCUUUGCCUUUGAAGGAAAAAAAAAAUAAUAGAUGAGAGUUCCUUAAUUGGAGGUAAUUUCCUUGUCAAAUUAAGCAAAAACUCUGCUAAAAUAUUGGCUGGCAUCCUAAUGGGUAAAAAUAAUGUUCAAAGAUAGCACAGUAACCAAUAGAAAUUGCAUGGAAUUUAUCUUUAAAUAUCUAGUGAUGAUUAAAUUACCACAAUGUGAGUCAUCUGACAUGGUGAGGUGUGAUGAUGAACUGCACGCUUCAGUCCUUUGUAAAGUUUUGAGGUGUUGAAAGAAGAGCACUCCACACCUGAGUGUUAGUGUAAUCGUCAUUGAUUGAGAAAGAUGUAGUUCAGUAACAAACUAAGCAUUUUCUGUCAUUAUGGAUCAACAAAGAACUCAUCUUCUGAAGUGCUUAUUAAAGCUAAAAUCAUUACAAAAUAGAGGAGUUUGAAAGCUGCUGCAAUAUAUGUGCAAGAAACAUCAUUACAUGGUAUACAUCUUAUUGGAAAUAUAUUUGAUUUUUUUUUUUCCUGUGCCAGUUAUUCCCUACAUUUUCACAUUUUCAAAACUGAGAAUGAAGCAUAGUGGGAGUCAUAGUGUUAAAAGCCUUCAAAUGACAAUUUUAAUUUAGAGCCUUUGAUUCAAAUGAGUGGAUGACUCAGGAAACUGGUCUAGACUAUACAGUCCUUAACAGGGCCACUUGUUAAGAGUCAGUCUGAAGUGUGGGUGAUCACCCAGCUCCUGCAGAGAGCUGAUGAGCAGCCCUAAGGAACAAGUGUUCUGGGCUAUGUGGCCUCUCCUCCACAUUGCAAAUGAGAAGGCAGAUUAGGGCUGUUGGACAGAAGGCACUAAGACGGGGGAGGUAUUUGGGUUCUCUUUUGCUGGAAUGCGGUGUUGAAUUGUCUAGAACAGGAUGGUGUUGGAACAAAAGAAGGUGGCACAUCUUUGCAAUUUUUUUUUCUCUUCUUUGUAAUAAAGAAUUAACUUAAUCUUUAGAGGAUGAAAGCUGUCUUAGUUUCACUGACUUCAGGAAAGCUCUAAGAGUGUAUGCCAGUAUCUGCAGCUGGUAGCUUUGGAAUCAUAGAAUCAUACGAUCACCAAGGUUGGAAAAGAUCCCCAAGAUCUGGUCCAACUGACCACCUACCACCAAUACUUCUCCACUAAGAGAAUGUCCCUUAGUAUUACAUCUACAUGUUUCUUGAACACCUCCAGUUUCAGUGACUUAGCCACCUCCCUGUGCAGCCCGUUCCAGUGCCAAAUCACUCUUUCAGAGAAGAAAUUUUUCCUAAUAACCUGAAUUUCUGCUGGAGCAACUUGAGGCCAUUCCCUCCAGUCCAAUCGCUAGUUAAAUGGGAGAAGAGGCUGAUCCCCACCUCAUCAAAACCUCAUUUCAGGCAGUUGUAGAGAGGUCUCCCUCUCCCAUGAGGUCUCCCCCGAACUUCCUCUUCUCCAGACUAAAUAAUCCCAGUUCCCUCAGCCACUUCUCGUUAGACUUGUUCUUUAGACCCCUCACAGCUUCACUGUCCUUUUCCGGACACACUCCAGGUCCACAGUGUCUUUCUUGUAGUGAGGGGCCCAAUACUGAAGGCAGUACUUUCAUAAUCACUGAAACACAUGCAUACAAACACCUCAUUUGUGUUUUAGAGGAACAUUCUUUACUGAAAAAGGCUGUAAACAUUUCAUAAAACAGCACCAUUUUUGUUGACUGUGUACUCUGCAGUCAUUUUUGCUGCAGAUUGCUGGCACGGCUGUAUUGCAGCAUGCGUGGACAAAUGCUCUGCCCUCACGUCCCCCUAGACUACAUGUGGGAUGAAGGAAAAGAAAUUCUUCCAGCUCAACUUUCUCAAAAUGUUGAGCUUCAUAUCUCUGGUAUUAGCAUACAGGUUCCUUUACAAAUGCCUGGCAACUACACUCAUUCCUGUUUUUGGAAUUAUCUAACAUACUUCAAGAAGCUGCAAGGAAUGCACAAAAAAGCCUGCCGGAAUAACAUGUGUAACUCUUCAAAAUACAACACUGUAGUUGCCAUAUCUUACUGCUUUACUGCUUGUAAGAUGUUUAUUUUGUAUAUACUGUAUUUUCGAAACCUACAUUUCAGUAUAAUCAACACAAGUGAAUCAAUACUUGUAAUUGCCUGCUGAAGCCUCUAUCUUUUUUGACCCCAUCAGAAUAUGUGUUGGGAUAAUCCAGAUAGAGUCAUUCCCUGUAAGGAAGUAUAGUAUGGGGUAUAGGUGCCCUUACCUGUGGAGAUUUGUGGAGUUUCAGUCACAUGAGGGAAAAGGACUAAGCAGAAGCUGAAAGUAAGUCUAUAAUGCAGAGGAAGUACUUGGAAGAGAUCCUUAAUUUUCAUGCUAUCCAGGAUAAUAACUGAGCUCAGCCAUCAUUUGCAGCUGUUCUGGGAUAUAUCACAAUGAACAGAGAUUAGCCAUUAUUAUUCAGCAUCUGCUUCAGUGUCCUCAAUAUCCUAUAAAAUUCUACGCUUUACCUAAUUGGCCUAGAAGGAGAAACAAACCAAUAAAUCUGGUUUUAUUAUGAUUAUGUUACCAGACUGGGAGUAAAUGAACUUCAAAUAUAAUGCCUGGGAAUACUAGAUAAUCAUCUUCCAAUCAUAAGAGUAGCUAUUAAGAAGUGGACUGGGGUAUAGAAAUGUUGUUCAAAAAGAUUCUUUUUUUUUUUUUUUUAUCUUCUAGCAAUUAGAAUAGCCAUUUAUUAUUAAUCAUUAGUGCCAUCCAUCACUAUCAGGGCUAGUGGAUGUCAGUGCAGUUGGAAGAAUGCUUAUCCCCUUUUGCACAUGGAACAGUGAUUGGAAAUGCGUUAUGCCUACUCUGCAAGUCAGCUCUAACCUAGUAUACCCUAAAUGGUUUGGGAUCUUGGAAAUGCCCCUCACCUCCAUGUCCCAGUGCACCUGUGGAGACCAGCAGAGUGUCAGCAAACUAAGUUUGCAUUUCUAACAACAACCAAAAAAGUGGGGGGAAAUGCAGAGCUUCCAGUACUGAGCUUUCAUGAUCAGCAUUUUUCAGUGGUGAGAUUAUUGUGAAAUAAACACUGGAGAGGCUUGGUAGUAUUCCAGGCUAAGUAGGACAAAGGGAGGUAUAUUCAUCACUUACACGGGUGGCAAACAGCUCAGUUCUGUAUGUUCAGUAACUUACUGCAUGAAACAUUUCAUUUUAAAAGAUGCAGGUGGAGGACAAUCAAUUAUUUGAGCGAUAUAUUUUAUAAUACAUACUCAAACCUCAUAAUUAACAUUAAAAAUGUUCUGUCUGAACGGUGUAUGGCUGACUUGAGAGGAUUAUUUUCAGGACCGCCCUAAUUGUCGUGUGUUUUAUUUUUCCACACAGCUAUGACAGAAAUCAUGACUGAUGAGUAAAAGCCCCCAACACCGACCCUUUGAGGACUGUCAGAUUUUAUGAGCUAAUGCUAAGUCUGUACUCAUUUUGUAAAACAUUGAGCAAAUUUUCAGACACUGUAAAAAAAAAAAACCCACAGAGAUGAAGUAAAAUAUGUUAAUAUUGUCAAUGAAACAGUGAGUAUAUCAAAUGGGCUUUAUAUAACAUAAUAUAUGUAAAAUGUAAAAGUUCGGUAGCAGAUCAAGCAUUAAACCUUUUUCUUUUUUUUUUGUCAGCUGCAAGAAUAAAGAGAUAAAAUACA